rnacentral:lncRNA from 10 species
UGGAGGAGGAGGGUGAUGUUGAUAGUGAUGAAGAAGAGGAGGAAGAUGAGGAGAGCUCCUCGGAGGGCUUGGAGGCUGAGGACUGGGCCCAGGGAGUAGUGGAGGCCGGUGGCAGCUUCGGGGCUUAUGGUGCCCAGGAGGAAGCCCAGUGCCCUACUCUGCAUUUCCUGGAAGGUGGGGAGGACUCUGAUUCAGACAGUGAGGAAGAGGACGAUGAGGAAGAGGAUGAUGAAGAUGAAGACGACGAUGAUGAUGAGGAGGAUGGUGAUGAGGUGCCUGUACCCAGCUUUGGGGAGGCCAUGGCUUACUUUGCCAUGGUCAAGAGGUACCUGACCUCCUUCCCCAUUGAUGACCGCGUGCAGAGCCACAUCCUCCACUUGGAACACGAUCUGGUUCAUGUGACCAGGAAGAACCACGCCAGGCAGGCGGGAGUUCGAGGUCUUGGACAUCAAAGCUGAGUCACUGGACCUAGCUGUGCCCCCAACCUAGAUUGGCAGCACCACCCCAGGGCAGAGGACUCUCUGGGCACCCGCUGUGCAUGGAGCCAGAGUGCAGAGCCCCAGAUCCUUUAGUAAUGCUUCCCCUGGUCCUGCAACAGGCCCGGUCACCUCGGCCGGGCCCGGGGCUGAGAUUGGAGGUUUCCAAGAGGCCCCCCACCGUGGAAGUAACCAAGGGCGCUUCCUUGUGGGCAGCUGCAGGCCCCAUGCCUCUCCUCCCUCUCUGGCAGGGCCCCAUCCUGGGCAGAGGGGCCUGGGGCUGGGCCCAGAGUCCAGCCGUCCAGCUGCUCCUUUCCCAGUUUGAUUUCAAUAAAUCUGUCCACUCCCCUUUUGUGGGGGUGAACGUUUUAACAGCCAAGGGUGCAUCCUU